rnacentral:rRNA from 1 species
UACGUAGGGUGCGAGCGUUAAUCGGAAUUACUGGGCGUAAAGCGUGCGCAGGCGGCUUCGCAAGUCAGGCGUGAAAUCCCCGGGCUUAACCUGGGAAUGGCGUCUGAAACUACGGAGCUGGAGUGUGGCAGAGGGAGGUAGAAUUCCACGUGUAGCGGUGAAAUGCGUAGAUAUGUGGAGGAAUACCGAUGGCGAAGGCAGCCUCCUGGGCCGAACACUGACGC